rnacentral:lncRNA from 1 species
UACAGCCUUAUCUUGUUUAGAUGGCUGCAAUGUGCGGUUUUAUCCGAAAACUCGUUUCCAGUGUGAUAGCUAUAUCCAGAUCGAUUUUGAGUAAGGAUUAUUACGAACUGGAUUAUAACCAAGGACUCCAUCUUUAGCAAAUGUUCUAUAUGUCUAAUCAUUUCUGAUUCCGUUCAUUUAGGAUCUGUUACUAAAAGAAGGUGAACAUUUUUGCAAUGUUACUUCUAGCUUUUAAACAUUGCAGAUAAUGAAACAUGUUCGUAUGUUAAAAUUUUCGCAACAAUUUAUUAGGAAUUUAGGUCACUGUUUCACCUUCAUAAAUUUUAACAUGUCUCACAAAGUAAACUGGUCGCGUUCGCUUUUAGCAUUUCAUCAUAACUAUAAUCAGCUGUACAUAAUAUAAAUAAAAACUACACAUUUUAUCAAUACAAAAAAUAUAUAUAUACAUAGUUCUUAUUGUAUGUACUUAUACCUAACUCACUCGAUAAUACUUGUGAUAAUAUUUAACCGAAAUAAUAUGUAGGCUGUAGGACACAAGAAAUAUCUUAUCUAUGACUCAUGUUUAUUUAAGAGCUAUUACACUAACUUGCGCGUUACGUAACUAAAAAUUGAUUAGCAUAGAAUGUUUUGAAAGUAAAGAAGGAAAGAGUAACAAACAUCCAUACUGACAUACUCACAAACUUUCGCAUUUAUAAUAUUAGUAGGAUUUACGAGUAUGUAGUGAACAUCCCCACAAAAUUAAAUGUGGCAGUGGCGGCGGCAGCGGCGGCGGAGAAGGCUGGUCCGGGGAGCCGCGCUACGGGUACGAGGCGCGCUACCCGCCGCAGUACCAGCCGCCGCCGCCCGGCGCCGCCUACCCCGACCGGUACGCGCAGGCCAGGGAAUACCCGCGCAAGUACUAAUAACCACAUGCAUGUGAGCCGCCGAAGUGGCUGACCAUUAAAAAAAUGUAAAUUAUUGGCUAGGAAAAUUGGUAUUACCACAUAUCUUUUUUCUAAUGUAAAGUAGUACUUUUAAGUUUAUUUGAAAUAUCUGUCAGAUUUUAUUGUAAUGACAACUAGGUACUGACUGGAAAGCAUUCCUCCUGUGAAUUGUAGUUUAUCUACCUACAUCACAUUGAAUGUUUAUUAUUUGUAUGUGAUUUUGCAUUAUGGAUUAUCAAGUGUUUGUACAAUAAUAUAUCUCGGAAUUAUUUUUAUUUGAGGUCAAUAAAAUAAGCUUAGCAUUUAUGUAGCCUUUUUGUCAUGUUUUUUGUCUUCUUAAGAUUGUGGCAUGAAUCAGAAAUGGAAAAAGGAAGGUUUGACUGUCAUUGUGUACAUUUUAAGAAAUGUUAGGUUUAUGUGUUAGAAGAAAUAAAUAAAGACAUUUAAACUGUU